rnacentral:rRNA from 1 species
AUUGAACGCUGGCGGCAGGCCUAACACAUGCGAGUCGAACGGUAACAGAAAGCAGCUUGCUGCUUUGCUGACGAGUGGCGGACGGGUGAGUAAUGUCUGGGAAACUGCCUGAUGGAGGGGGAUAACUACUGGAAACGGUAGCUAAUGCCGCAUAACGUCGCAAGACCAAAGAGGGGGACCUUCGGGCCUCUUGCCAUCGGAUGUGCCCAGAUGGGAUUAGCUAGUAGGUGGGGUAACGGCUCACCUAGGCGACGAUCCCUAGCUGGUCUGAGAGGAUGACCAGCCACACUGGAACUGAGACACGGUCCAGACUCCUACGGGAGGCAGCAGUGGGGAAUAUUGCACAAUGGGCGCAAGCCUGAUGCAGCCAUGCCGCGUGUAUGAAGAAGGCCUUCGGGUUGUAAAGUACUUUCAGCGGGGAGGAAGGGAGUAAAGUUAAUACCUUUGCUCAUUGACGUUACCCGCAGAAGAAGCACCGGCUAACUCCGUG